rnacentral:rRNA from 1 species
GACGAACGCUGGCGGCGUGCUUAACACAUGCAAGUCGAACGGAAAGGCCCUGCUUUUGUGGGGUGCUCGAGUGGCGAACGGGUGAGUAACACGUGAGUAACCUGCCCUUGACUUUGGGAUAACUUCAGGAAACUGGGGCUAAUACCGGAUAGGAGCUCCUGCUGCAUGGUGGGUGUUGGAAAGUUUCGGCGGUUGGGGAUGGACUCGCGGCUUAUCAGCUUGUUGGUGGGGUAGUGGCUUACCAAGGCUUUGACGGGUAGCCGGCCUGAGAGGGUGACCGGCCACAUUGGGACUGAGAUACGGCCCAGACUCCUACGGGAGGCAGCAGUGGGGAAUAUUGCACAAUGGGCGGAAGCCUGAUGCAGCAACGCCGCGUGCGGGAUGACGGCCUUCGGGUUGUAAACCGCUUUCGCCUGUGACGAAGCGCGAGUGACGGUAAUGGGUAAAGAAGCACCGGCUAACUACGUG